AACCAUUCUCACCUGCGGCUAGACCUGCGGAAGGAUCAUUACAGAGUUAUGCCCUUCGGGGUAGACCUCCAACCCUAUGUGUACCGGCUUUGUUGCUUUGGUGAGCCGUAAAGGUUUUUACGGCUUUUCCAUCGGUUUCGGCUGAUGUGUGCUCGCCAGAGGAAAUUUAAAACUCUGAAUUUUUUAAUGUUGUCUGAGUCUUUAGCAUAAUAAUUAAAACUUUCAACAACGGAUCUCAGA
rnacentral:misc_RNA from 1 species